rnacentral:lncRNA from 1 species
GGAACUGCUGGGACAUUCAAUUGCUUAAGCAAUUAAUUACUGGGCAGAAAUGGAAGGCUGUAUGUUCUCAUGGGUGACUCCCUGCAAGUGUUAGAAGUUAUGGCAACUAACUGCAAGAUGAACCUUUAUGAAUCUUAUUCAUAAAUGUAAUAACUGAUGGCAACUGCUCACAUAUGAAUAUUGAGUGGGGAACUUGCAGGAGAGCUUGGAGAGAUCUAGCGGGAGUUGCAAUGGGGAGAGCCUUUUCUAGGACCUUCUCAAGGAGGACAAGCUAACAUUUGCUACUCUGCCUCCUGCAGCUCAAAUUGGAGGGACUGAAACUGAUGACAUCAGCUUGAAUAUUGAGAUGGAGCCUGAAGGGGACCUUUCUGACAUGCUGCAAGCAGCGUUGGCUACUGAUGGGAAUGCUGCCUCCACAUAUUUCCUGAUACUAAGGUUCUGCAGUUCUCCAUAGAGAGAGAGGAAAGGCUGCUGACCUGGUGCCUGAAGUUGUGAGUAGAGACUUAAAAGUUAAACAAGACAGACACAGUGUCUUCGUGAGCCUCGAGAGAAAAUAUGCAUCUGACAGCAAGAUGGGACCACAUUGAUACAGGAGAACAGAUAUAAGGUAGCAUUUUUCAGUGGCUCACAGCUACUUCAAACAUGAAGCGCUUUUCCUUGGUCCAACAAAAUUCACUUCCUUGAUGCCUGAAUAAUGUUAAAAGUGACAAGUAAGUAUCAAGGUCCUUUUGCAAAGCUGUCUGAGAUUUUCAAGAACAAUCAGAAAAAUGGACAAUAGAAAGAUCUGUGUCUUGAAUCCCUUCUGAUCUUUGAAGAGUUUUUUAUUUCUGCAGUUGAAAACAAGCAUUUAAAGUUGGCCUGUAGGAAAAGUCUGUGCUAACCCUGUAAAAAUUGUAUUACAUAUACCUCUUGUAUGUACUCAUGUGAGAAUACUGCAUUCCUAAUCGUGUUGUUCUUUGGCACAGUCCAAACAAACAUCAGCACAUUCUUAAUACAUUAUUUUCUGAGCUUGGCUAAAUAAGCAAAAGAUAAAUCUACUGGUAAUGCAAUUAAGUCAUAAUUAUACAGAAAUACAUAUGCAAUUACUUUCCCAUCCUCAUUAAAGUUGAAUGAAUGCUUAGGGGUUUAACUAUCUUUUAACUACAGAGCAAAAGAAAUUUAAU